GACGAACGCUGGCGGCGUGCUUAACACAUGCAAGUCGAGCGGUAAGGCCCUUUCGGGGGUACACGAGCGGCGAACGGGUGAGUAACACGUGGGUGACCUGCCCUUAGCUCUGGGAUAAGCCUGGGAAACUGGGUCUAAUACCGGAUAUGACUCCAUGACGCAUGUUGUGGGGGUGAAAGCCUUGUGCGGCUAGGGAUGGGCCUGCGGCCUAUCAGCUUGUUGGUGGGGUGAUGGCCUACCAAGGCGACGACGGGUAGCCGGCCUGAGAGGGCGACCGGCCACACUGGGACUGAGACACGG
rnacentral:rRNA from 1 species